GACGAACGCUGGCGGCGUGCUUAACACAUGCAAGUCGAACGAAGUGGCGAACGGGUGAGUAACGCGUAAUCAACCUGCCCUUCAGAGGGGGACAACAGUUGGAAACGACUGCUAAUACCGCAUACUGAAGGAGGGGAGUGCGACGGAUGAGCGAGUUGGAGGGGUAACGCCCCACAAAGGCGCUGAUCAGUAGCCGGGCUGAUAGGAUGGACGGCCACAGUGGGCCCGAGACAGGGCCCAGACUCCUACGGGAGACAGCAGUGGGGAAUCUUCCGCAAUGGACGAAAGUCCGACGGAGCAACGCAGCGUGAGUGAUGACGGCCUUCGGGUUGUAAAGCUCUGUUAAUCGGGACGCGGUACCGGAAUAGAAAGCCACGGCUAACUACGUGCCAGCAGCCGCGGUAAUUC
rnacentral:rRNA from 1 species